ACUACUGUUGCGAACUCUCUGAUGGCACACUGCCAAGAAAAGCUUCUAGCGUAAAGUCAUAUCUACCCGUACCGCAAACCGACACAGGUAGUCGAGGCGAGUAGCCUCAGGUGAUCGAGAGAACUCUCGUUAAGGAACUCGGCAAAAUAGCCCCGUAACUUCGGGAGAAGGGGUGCUCUGUUAGGGUGCAAGCCCGAGAGAGCCGCAGUGAAUAGGCCCAGGCGACUGUUUAGCAAAAACACAGGUCUCUGCGAAGCCGUAAGGC
rnacentral:rRNA from 1 species